rnacentral:sRNA from 1 species
GGGAGGGGUAUGUCGUGUGCAGCUUUCAAAAACACCGAAGUCGACUCUACCACCCCAAAUGAAUGCUAUAGAGAUUUUUAGCGUCAUACAAUUUCCACAAUCGGACACAAAUACGGAUGAAGGUAUGUAGUCCUGUAGUUUUAUGCAGAUAUAAAACAUAUUAAGUUUGCAAUUGUGAGACAACCAUAUUAAAUACUUUAGUCUCUCGCUUGAGAGGAUGUACAGGCUUACGCUCAGAACCUUUUAAUUAUUCAAAAGAAUAAAGUAGUAAUAAAAUAAGGCAUAUUUUAUAAUUGAUUCUUUUGUUUGCCACUUGCCAGUCAUUGCUAUCAAGAACAUUCAAUCUACUUAUAAAGUGAGUAGAAUCAGCUGGCAGGGCGAUCCAUGUGUACCUAUACAGUUU